rnacentral:ncRNA from 2 species
UACGUAGGUGGCAAGCGUUAUCCGGAUUUAUUGGGCGUAAAGGGAACGCAGGCGGUCUUUUAAGUCUGAUGUGAAAGCCUUCGGCUUAACCGGAGUAGUGCAUUGGAAACUGGGAGACUUGAGUGCAGAAGAGGAGAGUGGAACUCCAUGUGUAGCGGUGAAAUGCGUAGAUAUAUGGAAGAACACCAGUGGCGAAAGCGGCUCUCUGGUCUGUAACUGACGCUGAGGUUCGAAAGCGUGGGUAGCAAACAGG